UCCGGGUGGGGACGGUGUGG
rnacentral:misc_RNA from 1 species